rnacentral:rRNA from 1 species
CACGUAGGGUGCGAGCGUUGUCCGGAGUUACUGGGCGUAAAGGGCGCGUAGGCGGUGCGGUAAGUCUGCAGUGAAAUCUCUGGGCUCAACUCAGAGUCUGCUGUAGAAACUGCCGUGCUUGAGUGUGGGAGAGGUGAGUGGAAUUCCCGGUGUAGCGGUGAAAUGCGUGGAUAUCGGGAGGAACACCUGUGGCGAAAGCGGCUCACUGGACCACAACUGACGCUGAGGCGCGAAAGCUAGGGGAGCAAACAGG